AAUACCAAAUAUUCUGGAAAUUUUCAGAUACAGCUUCUCAAUCAUAGCUGUUCAUUAGCAAUCACCAGAGGAGUUUUUAAAACUCCUGGUGCCCGGCUGCACUUGAAACCAAUGAACUCAGGCAUGCGCCAUGGGGAUCCAGGUGGCUCCUGUUAAGAAACAGAGCUCCCUGAGAAGUAGUCCCGUCGUCUUCCGUGUCCUGGCUGCUGAGAUCGUGGUUUCACUCUGGCGGUUUUCAGUAACCUGUGGCCAACUGGGGUCCCGAAGUAGACGAUCCGCCUGCCGGUCCACUGUAGCCUCACGCUGCGUCACAAGGCCCACGUCAUUCACCUCACCCUUGUCAUCUCACAGAGGCACAAGAAGGAACACAGGAUAAUGCAGUACAAGACUAUUGAAGUGUGAAGGGGCGGAUGAGAUCUGGCAGAGGACCGUUAAGGGAAUGAAAUCUUAAGACAGCAGCUGGAUAUCAUGCACUGGAGGGAAAAGACUCACAUCUUUUACUCUCUGUACAUCCUACCCGCUACCCAGCAGUGCUAGGGAUAUGCAGGGUAUUCUACAAAACACUUGUUAAUUGAAUAAAGUAUUAGCAAAAAUAAA